rnacentral:tRNA from 7 species
GCCACCUUAGCUCAGAUGGCUAGAGCAACCGCCUUGUAAGCGGUAGGUCCCGGGUUCGAUUCCCGGAGGUGGCUCCA